rnacentral:rRNA from 1 species
GUAAGACCGGGCCUGCGGAGGGGGUAAAGCGGAGGGGGCAAUGGUUGUUAGGAUUUACGGGGCGUAAAGGGCGCGUAGGCGGCAAUUCAAGUCAGCUGUGAAAUCUCUGAGCUUAACUCAGAACGGUCAGCUGAUACUGUGUUGCUAGAGUGCGGAAGGGGCAAUCGGAAUUCUUGGUGUAGCGGUGAAAUGCGUAGAUAUCAAGAGGAACACCUGAGGUGAAGACGGGUUGCUGGGCCGACACUGACGCUGACAGCGCGAAAGCCAGGGGAGCAAACGGGAUUAGAUACCCGUGUAGUC